AACAGGAUUAGAUACCCUGGUAGUCCACGCUGUAAACGAUGCUAACUCGUUUUUGGGGAUUUAUCUUCAGAGACUAAGCGAAAGUGAUAAGUUAGCCACCUGGGGAGUACGAACGCAAGUUUGAAACUCAAAGGAAUUGACGGGGGCCCGCACAAGCGGUGGAUUAUGUGGUUUAAUUCGAUGAUACGCGAGGAACCUUACCAAGGCUUAAAUGGGAAUUGAUCGGUUUAGAAAUAGACCUUCCUUCGGGCAAUUUUCAAGGUGCUGCAUGGUUGUCGUCAGCUCGUGCCGUGAGGUGUUAGGUUAAGUCCUGCAACGAGCGCAACCCCCGUCACUAGUUGCCAUCAUUCAGUUGGGGACUCUAGUGAGACUGCCUACGCAAGUAGAGAGGAAGGUGGGGAUGACGUCAAAUCAUCACGGCCCUUACGCCUUGGGCCACACACGUAAUACAAUGGCCGGUACAGAGGGCAGCUACACAGCGAUGUGAUGCAAAUCUCGAAAGCCGGUCUCAGUUCGGAUUGGAGUCUGCAACUCGACUCUAUGAAGCUGGAAUCGCUAGUAAUCGCGCAUCAGCCAUGGCGCGGUGAAUACGUUCCCGGGCCUUGUACACACCGCCCGUCAAGCCAUGGAAGUCUGGGGUACCUGAAGUCGGUGACCGUAAAAGGAGCUGCCUAGGGUAAAACAGGUAACUAGGGCUAAGUCGUAACAAGGUAACC
rnacentral:rRNA from 1 species